AAGAUUUUAGGUUAAAAAAACCAUAAAUUUUCAAAAUUUAAAAUAAAUUAAAAUUGGAUUUAAAUCUUG
rnacentral:tRNA from 1 species